AACGAACGCUGGCGGCAUGCCUAACACAUGCAAGUCGAACGAGACCUUCGGGUCUAGUGGCGCACGGGUUCGUAACGCGUGGGAACCUUCCCUUAUGUUCGGAAUAACUCCCCGAAAGGGGUGCUAAUACCGGAUAAUGUCUUCGGACCAAAGAUUUAUCGCCUUUGGAUGUUCCCGCGUUGGAUUAGCUAGUUGGUAGGGUAAAAGCCUAUCAAGGCGACGAUCCAUAGAUGGUCUGAGAGGCUGAUCAGCCACACUGGGACUGAGACACGGCCCAGACUCCUACGGGAGGCAGCAGUGGCGAAUAUUGCACCACGGGCGAAAGCCUGAUCCAGCAAUGCCGCGUGAGUGAUGAAGGCCUUAGGGUUGUAAAGCUCUUUUAACCGGGAUGAUAAUGACAGUACCGGGAGAAUAAGCUCCGGCUAACUCCGUG
rnacentral:rRNA from 1 species